rnacentral:rRNA from 1 species
GCGACCCCAGGUCAGGCGGGACCACCCGCUGAGUUUAAGCAUAUCA